rnacentral:rRNA from 1 species
GAUGAACGCUGGCGGCGUGCUUAACACAUGCAAGUCGAACGAACGGAGAAGAGCUUGCCCUUCGAAGUUAGUGGCGGACGGGUGAGUAACGCGUGGGUAACCUGCCUCAUGCAGGGGGAUAACGUUUGGAAACGAACGCUAAUACCGCAUAAACUAUGGAUUGCCGCAUGGCAAUUAUAGCAAAGAUUUUAUCGGCAUGAGAUGGACCCGCGUUGGAUUAGCUAGUUGGUGAGAUAACAGCCCACCAAGGCGACGAUCCAUAGCCGGCCUGAGAGGGUGAACGGCCACAUUGGGACUGAGACACGGCCCAA